AUUGAACGCUGGCGGCAGGCCUAACACAUGCAAGUCGAACGAGUGGCGGACGGGUGAGUAAUGCCUGGGAAACUGCCUGAUGGAGGGGGAUAACUACUGGAAACGGUAGCUAAUACCGCAUACCAUCGGAUGUGCCCAGAUGGGAUUAGCUAGUAGGUGGGGUAAAGGCUCACCUAGGCGACGAUCCCUAGCUGGUCUGCGAGGAUGACCAGCCAAAAUGGAACUGAGAAACGGUCCAGACUCCUACGGGAGGCAGCAGUGGGGAAGAUUGGACAAUGGGGGCAAGCCUGAUGCAGCCAUUCCGCGUGUAUGAAGAAGGCCUUCGGGUUGUAAAGUACUUUUCGCGGGGAGGCGUUACCCGCAGAAGAAGCACCGGCUAACUCCGUGCCAGCAGCCGCGGUAAUAC
rnacentral:rRNA from 1 species